UGAACCAGUGCUGAGAGUGUCUUGAACCAGGGAUUAUGAUUAAUCCAAUAUUCUGUACCUGAAGUCCAAA
rnacentral:snoRNA from 10 species